rnacentral:lncRNA from 1 species
GCAGAAAAUGGACAGCUGCCUGUUCAGCCUGUUGCACCGCCUUAUUGAGAUGGUUUUCGAAACAAGGGACUUGCUAGGCAGUAUUUAGCCACAUAGGGACAUCUGGGAUGAUCUUCUAACUAUCCUAGACUACCUUGGCAUGAUCUUGGACCCUAAGGUUCACUAUAUAAGAGCUUGAGUUGUGAACAUUUCAUUCAUUCAUUUCAAACUUUGCAUAAGUUCACUCCUGGAGCUCCUCUGGUCAGCAACAAAUAUUCUUAGCAUCCCUAAUCCUAAUUAGGACUCUUGAUGAAUAGGAGACCCAGUAAAAGAUACUUGCACUUGCUUGUUGUGGUUUAUACUUGCUCAGGUAAAUACUUUUAA